CCCAUUAUCUCCCAUCAUGCCUCACAUCAAGCCCCUCCUCCCAUCAUGCCCCACAUCAUGUCUCCUCCUUCAGCUGUACGUUCUCCUCCUACCUUGUCCCCAAUCUGUGGUGGUUCCUGAGAUAGAGCUGCUCGAAGCCAAGUGUCCCUUCAGAUGGGAAAACAUAUAGUUCACCUGAUCCUUGCCUUAUGAGAUGGGUUAAAUCUAAAUUCCAAGAGUGAGGUCUCGAGGCUGGCUACCGUCAUAGCUUUAGUGUCAACUUGGUACAUACUAUCUGGGAAGAGGCCUCAAUCUCUUGCCGCUGUCAGUUGGGCCUAUGGCAGACCUACGAAGCUUUCUCCUAGCUGCUAACUGAUGUAGGAAGUCCCACCCCAGGCGUGGGUGCACCUCCUGGCAGCACCCCAGAUGAAAAGAGCAAGGCAAGGGACCCUGACUUUGGAUGGCUUUCCCUCCUUGCUAGAGAGUUGAUUUGCCUAGUUGCUGAUUCCAUGACUGACACAUUCCACCAUUGACUAAGGAUCAGUUGCUUCCCAGGAACUUUCCAGGCUUUUAGUGCCAUAUUGGGACUACUGAGGUAUCCAGCCUUAAUGACCCCAGCAUUGCUGGGCUGUCAACCUCCCGGGUGAGAGACAGCUGCCUUGGGAUGACUCCAAUUGCAAAGGCCUCAUUGUCAGGGACCAGCCAUUCCCAGGAUCCUAGCCUCUCAGGUGCGAUUCAGCUGGCGUUGAUAUUUUAAGGGAACGACUGUCACACUGACCUCAUCCCAGCACUGCGUCUGAUCUCACUGCUUUUCUGAAGCCAGCCUGUGUUCCUGCCACCAUGCCUGCCUCCUAAGACAGAACAAACCCCUCCUUCUGCAAGUCGCUUCUUGUCAGGGUCAUCUUCGAGAUCUGAAGGUUACAUGGCUUGCAUGUGUCACAGCUGGAGACUCGGUGCCUGAACCUUGUCACUGGUUCUUUCUGGCAAAUGACUGGAACUAAGAAAUAUCAUCCUGAGUGAGGCAACUCAGACCCAAAAGGACACGCAUGACGGGAGCCUAGCAAGGCUGUCCUCCGAGAAGACCAGCAAGCAACUGACUGAGACAGAUGCAGAUACUUACAUCCAACCAUUGGACUGAAGGAGGCGACCCCUGUGGUUGAAUUAGGGGAAGGAUUGAAGAAAUUGAAGGGGAGAAUGACCUCAUAGGAAGACCAGCAGUCUCAACUAACCCAGACUCCAGGGAGCUCCCAGAGACUGAGUCACCACCAGGAGCACACACGGAUUGGUCUGAGCCCCUGUCACAUACAUAGAGGAGGUCUGCCUGGUCAGGCUUCAGUGGGAGAAAAAGCAUUUAAUUCUCAAGAGACUUGAGGCCCCAGGGAAGGGGGGAGGCCUGGUGGGAGGAUCACCCUCUUGGAGGCAAGGGGGAGGAGGAAUGGGAUGAGGAAUUGUGGGAGGGGGCAUUGGGAAGGGAGGGCAAUGACUGGAAUGUAAAUAAAUAAAAAAAAAUCUUCCCACUUUAAACCCUUUCUGCCCCUAUGAGAAGUAACUGAGGAUUGGCUGCUGUGUUACAACCAAGAACGUUGUUCUCCAGGCCGGAAAGCAGUUCUUUAGAAAGCUAAAGUCAUAGGACAUCAGCUCACCAGACACCCAAGGAAAACUAGGACUGUCUAAAGAGAGAUAAGACAAGAGCUCUCAUCCCUUUUGAACAGAAGCUACCACACAGGAGACAAAAUUUCUGAAAGAAACAUGCCAAAGAACUUCCUGUAGUAUUCUGGUUGAUACUGGCAGCUUCUGCUGACUCGUGCAGAUUCGGUGAAGCCUUGCUGUUUCUGUUGGAUUGAACUGCCCCUACUGAUGCAUGUUUGGUGUUUGUUAUUGAAUUGAACUGCUGGUAUCCUGACAAUGAAGAGUGAAAUUGCUCCAAGAAACUGCUUCUGAACAGCUUCUUGUCAGGAUAUUUUAAGCACAGCAAGAGAAAUGAAGCAACACAUGCAAACCCUCACAGUAUGUGCAAUUAAAGAGUGGUGUUGGAACAAAAGGAGCAAGGAUGGAUUCACAAUGACCUUUCCAGUGGUGGGCACGUAGCCCACACUAGGCUGAGAGCAUUGCUGAUCUUCACUUGUCGUGACUUCAUAGAAAACAACUUGCCCAAGAAAUUCUGGUGAUACCCUGGUUGCUUCUUGAUGCUUCUGUGGACUCGUGCUAAUUUGGGGGAGCCUCAAGGUUUCUUCUGGAUAGAACUGCUGCUACUGGCUUGUAUUUGAUGUUUUGGUCUAGACUGUUGAUAUCCUGACAACAAAAUUUGGGAUCUUCCCUACUUCUAAACAAGUCUACAACCCA